ACGAACGCUGGCGGCGUGCUUAACACAUGCCAGUCGAACGGAAAGGCCCUGCUUUUGUGGGGUGCUCGAGUGGCGAACGGGUGAGUAACACGUGAGUAACCUGCCCUUGACUUUGGGAUAACUUCAGGAAACUGGGGCUAAUACCGGCUAGGAGCUCCUGCUGCAUGGUGGGGGUUGGAAAGUUUCGGCGGUUGGGGAUGGACUCGCGGCUUAUCAGCUUGUUGGUGGGGUAGUGGCUUACCAAGGCUUUGACGGGUAGCCGGCCUGAGAGGGUGACCGGGCACAUUGGGACUGAGAUACGGCCCAGACUCCUAUGGGAGGCAGCAGUGGAGAAUAUUGCACAAUGGGCGGAAGCCUGAUGCAGCAACGCCGCGUGCGGGAUGACGGCCUUCGGGUUGUAAACCGCUUUCGCCUGUGACGAAGCGUGAGUGACGGUAAUGGGUAAAGAAGCACCGGCUAACUACGUG
rnacentral:rRNA from 1 species